rnacentral:rRNA from 1 species
AGAGUUUGAUCAUGGCUCAGGAUGAACGCUGGCGGCGUGCUUAAUACAUGCAAGUCGAACGGAGAAUUAGCAAUAGUUCUUAGUGGCGAACGGGUGAGUAACGCGUUGGUGACCUGCCCCGAAGAGAGGGAUAACAGUUCGAAAGGACUGCUAAUACCCCAUGUGGUUGUCGAGGUUAGAGGCUUGGCAACUAAAGGAGCAAUCCGCUUCGGGAGGGGCCUGCGUCCCAUCAGCUAGUUGGUAGGGUAAAGGCCUACCAAGGCUAAGACGGGUAGGGGGCCUGAGAGGGUGACCCCCCACACUGGCACUGAAACACGGGCCAGACACCUACGGGUGGCAGCAGUAGGGAAUAUUGCACAAUGGGCGAAAGCCUGAUGCAGCAACGCCGCGUGCGCGAUGAAGGCCUUCGGGUUGUAAAGCGCUUUUGGGGAGAUGAGGAAGGACAGUAUCCCCAGAAUAAGGCUCGGCUAACUACGUGCCAGCAGCCGCGGUAACACGUAGGAGCCAAGCGUUAUCCGAAUUCACUGGGCGUAAAGCGCGUGCAGGCGGCUUGGUAAGUUGGAUGUGAAAUCUCCUGGCUCAACUGGGAGAGGCCGUUCAAUACUGUCAAGCUAGAGGUCGGCAGAGGAAAGUGGAAUUCCAGGUGUAGUGGUGAAAUGCGUAGAUAUCUGGAGGAACACCAGUGGCGAAAGCGGCUUUCUGGGCCGCACCUGACGCUCAGACGCGAAAGCUAGGGGAGCAAACGGGAUUAGAAACCCCGGUAGUCCUAGCCGUAAACGAUGUAGACUUGGUGUCGGCGGGGUAAAAGCCGUCGGUGCCGAAGCUAACGCGAUAAGUCUACCGCCUGGGGACUACGGCCGCAAGGUUAAAACUCAAAUGAAUUGACGG